UAGGGAAUCUUCCACAAUGGACGCAAGUCUGAUGGAGCAACGCCGCGUGAGUGAAGAAGGUUUACGGAUCGUAAAGCUCUGUUGUUGGUGAAGAAGGAUAGAGGUAGUAACUGGCCUUUAUUUGACGGUAAUCAACCAGAAAGUCACGGCUAACUACGUGCCAGCAGCCGCGGUAAUACGUAGGUGGCAAGCGUUGUCCGGAUUUAUUGGGCGUAAAGCGAGCGCAGGCGGAAGAAUAAGUCUGAUGUGAAAGCCCUCGGCUUAACCGAGGAACUGCAUCGGAAACUGUUUUUCUUGAGUGCAGAAGAGGAGAGUGGAACUCCAUGUGUAGCGGUGGAAUGCGUAGAUAUAUGGAAGAACACCAGUGGCGAAGGCGACUCUCUGGUCUGCAACUGACGCUGAGGCUCGAAAGCAUGGGUAGCGAACAGG
rnacentral:rRNA from 1 species